AGUGAACGCUGGCGGUAGGCCUAACACAUGCAAGUCGAACGGCAGCACAGUAAGAGCUUGCUCUUACGGGUGGCGAGUGGCGGACGGGUGAGGAAUACAUCGGAAUCUACUUUUUCGUGGGGGAUAACGUAGGGAAACUUACGCUAAUACCGCAUACGACCUACGGGUGAAAGCAGGAGAUCUUCGGACCUUGCGCGAUUGAAUGAGCCGAUGUCGGAUUAGCUAGUUGGCGGGGUAAAGGCCCACCAAGGCGACGAUCCGUAGCUGGUCUGAGAGGAUGAUCAGCGACACUGGAACUGAGACACGGUACAGACUCCUACGGAAGGCAGCAGUGGGGAAUAUUGGACGAAGGGCGCAAGCCUGAUCCAGCCAUACCGCGUGGGUGAAGAAGGCCUUCGGGUUGUAUAGCCCUUUUGUUGGGAAAGAAAAGCAGCAGGUUAAUACCCCGCUGUUCUGACGGUACCCAAAGAAUAAGCACCGGCUAACUUCGUG
rnacentral:rRNA from 1 species